rnacentral:tRNA from 1 species
GCGGGAAUGGCGGAACUGGUAGACGCGCAAGACUUAGGAUCUUGUGUCACCGACGUAGGGGUUCAAGUCCCCUUUCCCGCACCA